rnacentral:tRNA from 1 species
GCCUUCGGUGGCUCAGAUGGAUAGAGCGUCUGCCAUGUAAGCAGGAGAUCCCGAGUUCGAGUCCCGGUCGGGGCA